rnacentral:rRNA from 1 species
AACACGUAGGUAACCUACCUAUAAGACUGGGAUAACUUCGGGAAACCGGAGCUAAUACCGGAUAAUAUUUCGAACCGCAUGGUUCGAUAGUGAAAGAUGGCUUUGCUAUCACUUAUAGAUGGACCUGCGCCGUAUUAGCUAGUUGGUAAGGUAACGGCUUACCAAGGCAACGAUACGUAGCCGACCUGAGAGGGUGAUCGGCCACACUGGAACUGAGACACGGUCCAGACUCCUACGGGAGGCAGCAGUAGGGAAUCUUCCGCAAUGGGCGAAAGCCUGACGGAGCAACGCCGCGUGAGUGAUGAAGGUCUUCGGAUCGUAAAACUCUGUUAUUAGGGAAGAACAAACGUGUAAGUAACUGUGCACGUCUUGACGGUACCUAAUCAGAAAGCCACGGCUAACUACGUGCCAGCAGCCGCGGUAAUACGUAGGUGGCAAGCGUUAUCCGGAAUUAUUGGGCGUAAAGCGCGCGUAGGCGGUUUUUUAAGUCUGAUGUGAAAGCCCACGGCUCAACCGUGGAGGGUCAUUGGAAACUGGAAAACUUGAGUGCAGAAGAGGAAAGUGGAAUUCCAUGUGUAGCGGUGAAAUGCGCAGAGAUAUGGAGGAACACCAGUGGCGAAGGCGACUUUCUGGUCUGUAACUGACGCUGAUGUGCGAAAGCGUGGGGAUCAAACAGGAUUAGAUACCCUGGUAGUCCACGCCGUAAACGAUGAGUGCUAAGUGUUAGGGGG